UGUUAGCAGUGCUAUACUAGAUUGGCACCCUAACUGGUACCUAUACAGCUACUCCUUGUCAGUUGCUAUAUUUUUUCACCUUGAGGCUGAGAGGUUAACUCCUUCCACUCUCAACCGCCUUUGCUUAUCUUACUAGUAGCUCUAUCUAUUGGUACCAGCCAGGGAACUCCCUCUUUGCGAGCUACUUACUUUAUCUGAACCCUCUACCGACAGAUGCGCGAAUUGCACUGGUCAUUGUGCGGAAUGCCCUCUAAGCCAGUCAGUCAAUGGAGGGACCGGGGCGCUAGGUAUUUUCUUUCUUCUGGCCGUAGGUGUGAUCAAUGCCAUUGAGCUUCGGUACUCUAAAAUAGUAGUCGGAAUUCGCUUCUGAGUGAGCUUCCUUCCUUAUGCUCUGGCCUGACCUUCACGAACAGCUUUCUUUCAGCUACCAACUUCAAAGCUUGAUCUCAUCUCUCUUCUUUUGAAAGUUUAGUACUAUUAUUGUUGGCAUGGAAGGAGUUCAUCUUGAAUUGCCAGUACAGUGAUUGGAGGCCUUCCUCACCUGUUCUAGUGACAUAGGCCCAUCCGGUCGAGAGAAGAGACUUGAGAUUAGCCACUAGGUGAAGUACCAAGGAGAGGAUCGGCUUCAGCCAUAACCAAUACGGAGGGAUUGACAUAGUAAAGGAGGCUAAACAAAGCUAUCAAAGGGAUGUGCCCAGGCUCGGAAUAUCCUUCUUUCGUACCCAAGAGUAGCCCUAUUUCUAAUAGGAGCAAUUCAAGCAUUAAUUAGUACUACCUCGGAAAGGAAGGAGAAUAAGGGAAGGUGCCAAGUAGCUGAUUGCACAUUACUAAGGCAAGGAAUAAGACGUCUGAGAAGGGAUGCCGAAAAAAGGCUUCAAUUUAAUCUGGUGCAAAGUCAGUAGUACUAGGGCCUUCGAGUUGGAAUUUCCAACUAUAAACAAGUGUAGCGAAGUCACCUCCAUUCUCGAUUUCUAUUGCGACAGAGGGAGGUAUCAUAAUAGAGUCAAAAUCACGAUUAGAGUCAGUCCGGAUAAAAGGAAGAAUCCAAUCCCCUUCUUCCUGAUCUUAUUGGCCUUACAGCGGGCCUAAGAGCAAGGAAGUCUCAACUCCCCAAUCCCCCAGGGUGAGGGGUGAACCUUCUGUCUGAUUCAAUCUCAUCUAUUGCUGCUUUCGAAUCGGCUGAAAGAGUAUUUUGAUGUCACUUAGGAGAAGUAUAGGGAAGUGUGCCUGAGUCUUCUAUAAUAAGUAGUUGUGACUCGGUCUAGCUAGGACAGAGCCAUCCUAAAGAGACUUUCUUCUGUUCUAGGUUUCCACAAAGCGGUAUCAGGGUAUGAGAACGCCUUUCUCCUAUAUAUAAUCAAGUCUUUGGUUUAGAUCAAUCAAUCCUCAAUCCGGGCUCAAUGACCGGAAUGAAUGGCUUUCUCCUGUCUCCUCAUGGAUCCAACUAUUAGGUUCGUGGGUUUGUGGUCCGUGCCUAAAGCAACUCUUUUCCAUUCGCGAACGUUUAAGAAGUCAUCUCCUGAUUCGUUGAUCUAUUGAGCUAAGGCAGCUCUGCAUAUAGUGUUUUAGACUCAUACUUCAUCGCCGCCCGGUCCUUUCGAACCUUAAUCUUAAGAAAUUCCUGAACGAGAAAGCGGUAUGUAUGGUUGGCGUAUGCCUGGAAACUAGUCCAGAAUGAUAUCAUCAACUGCACGAUAGACCAUGAGUAAGCACUUUUGACAGCAAGAGAAGAGUCCUCCUCCUCACAAGGACCGACUCCUUUAGGUGCGAGGUGCGAUCAACCGCGAAAAGUCAGUAAUAAAGAAUCCGCUCUCCGGUAAGCGAAGGAAAGCAGGUCAAAGCCUGCCAAGGCGUCAAGGCAGUUCGACAAAGGCAGAAAGAGUCUCCGUCCUGAACACAGAAGGAAGGCGGGUUUGUCAAUGCUUGAACUGAUUGAUCUAAGUGAGCUACGAGGUUAGUCUUCUAGGAUCAACUUGCUUCAAAGUGCCCAUUAAUUAUUUGUUAAUUUCAGGAAUGAUCCUAUCAGUGAUUAUGUACUAGGCUUAUCUAAUGAAUUGAGUCUUCCAAGAAAGGUUUCUAAUGAAUCUGCUAAUUGAGGUUCUAGAUUCGUUCAAAAGGCAGAAAGGAAUAGGCUAAGGGCCGUACCUUAAUGAUCCCUAACCAUAUUGAUGUUCCUGAGUUCUAGUCUUUCUGGUAGCCAAUGAUCUAAGGGAGCUAGCAGUGCAAAGAUACUCAAAAGUGGUACGCGCACAUAAAAAAGCGGUUGGACGGUGUCUUUCUCUGUUUUGUUCCUUCCUCGGCAAGCUUGGGAGUUUCCUGAUGUAAGCUCCCUGGGUACGGUUUCGGAGUUUAUGUAAAUGCCCUAUCUUCAAAGGGAGCUGCUGACUUAAGGUAUCCCCUGAUCCGAGGGUGAGCUAGAAUUGCGUAUGGUGAAGAGGAAAGGAAGAAGUCAUUGUAAAGGAAGACGACAUUUACCAUUUCCGCUGCCUGCCUAAAGGCUUAUUGGUAGCUCUUAGGUUCUCUGUCAGUAGAGUGAUUGCCAAAACCUAGGUAUGUUUUCGGAGAAUAAUAAGAAGAGACGGUUGUAGCUUUUAGAGACUAUCCUCUGCAGCUGUAGCUACGUGGAAGCCAGCUGCUUAAAGACAAGCCCCCCAACCAUUCCGCUAUUCCUGCCCUAAAGCAAGGGAAUCCGCUCUGACCCACCACCCUGGUAGGAAUUGCCAGAUUUACAGUUAAUGAAUCCUUGUAAUACAAGUUCUUUCCUCUAACGAUGGCUACGAACUACGCGAACUGAACUGUCAAGGCUUUCAAACCAAGACUGAGAAAGCUCAAUCAAUAAAGAGUAUUUUAGUGGAAUGGCUUAACUUACUCCCCAUACGAGACCGGAAAGGAAGCUAGCGAACCUAGGGUCAACACCAAGGUAGGGGCAAAAGGGAAAAGAACGAUGUUUGAUGUGAACGGAAGCACGCAUUUCGCUAAGAAAGCAAAACAGGAAGCGGCGAUAGCAAACAUUACCCUCACUCAGAACAAUAUGCUCUUGGGAGACAUGAAGCACAAUCAACCUCUCUACCUUAAGACUUCUAACAUGGUCGAUUCUAGAUAGAGCACGGUAACCCACAACCCCCUACUCUACAAAACAAAGAGUGGAAAAUCUCUUCAUAGGGUACUGUAGCUGUACAGCCAUAGUACCAUAGGGAUGGUGAGAGUUCAUAAGAGCCCGAAUUUAGAUAGGUGAAAGAUCCUUACUCAAAUUACGAACCCUGAACCUCUUUGCGAAUUCACAGCUGAACCUUGAUGGGAAAUCAUAGAUUUCUGAUAGGAAAGAAAAAGCCCAAUUACAAAAAAUUUUUUCAUAUACACGAGCGUCCUCCUACAUUGUCCCCUAGUACAGCAUACUUAAGAAAGCGGUUUCCAGGGUCAACCUGUUUAACUGCAUGCCAGACCACUAAGUGAUGAGACCGUGCAAACAAAGGCAACGAGGAGCGCUAGCCGGAACUGGACAAUGGGUGGGUGUCCAACAAACAUUCCUUAGCUAAGAAGGAUUCAUUCACCGCAGCUUCUCUUACUAGCAGAUGAAACUAGCAACAUCACAUCAUAUAGAAUACCGAUUGACAGGCAUUCAAGUCUAUCUUAUAGUUUAUGUUGAUGAUCUCAUUGUUUCCGCGAGCGCAUCCUUCAUUUCCAAGCUUUAUUUCUAUCGUAAUUUUUCCAUCUGGGCGCCUAUUCAUUCUUUUUUGGGGUGUAUAAAGCCACGGAGCGAUUCAGGCAUCUAUCUUAUUGUAUUGACGCAAUUGGAAGAUCAGGAUUUCUCCCUGCCGCUCAAGCGGGAUCAGAUCGGGCUUUAGCGAGAACAGCUGUAAUUGAAUCGGGAACGGAAAGACUUCACUUCAACUCAAUAAAUGACGUCUACUUCGUAAGUGCUAAGGCAAAAUAUAUCACCGAAAGGAAAGGUGAUAGGGGAGCCUAGCCAUUUCACUCUACCUGAGUAAUAAAGUGGAAACCCCCCUCACGAUCGAUUAAAAGGAAAGUCGCCCAGAGAUAUUUGUUCAAAUCCAAUUCGUGAAGACAGAGUAAAUUCAACAAAUCUAAGGAAGCAAGUCCUAGGCCUCACUAUCUAUCAAUCAAGAAGGUAAAGGAGAGAAGGUUUGAUUGAAAGUAGUACGUCUGCAGGGAUCUGUCGUUAACGAUUUGACCGGGACACAUCCAAUUGAAAGUCUAAUCCCAACCUCUUUGGAAGGAGCUCCAAAAAAGACUUGACUUCAGAGCGGGGAAUCUUCCUACAAGUGAGCACCAAGUCAAAUGUAUUCAAAAAGGGCUAUACCUCUGCCUAGACAAAGAGGACUUUAAGGCAGCCUCGUAGGAGACAUUGGAUGUAACCAGCCUUCAAAGGCGGAGGAGUCAAAAGCAACUUUCGAUUCAAAUUAGAGAAAUGCUGAGCUUUAUCCGCUUCAAUUCAUUAAGGUAUUAUUCUAUAUAGCCUUCUAAAUAGUCAGAGUGGGAACUCAAAAGCAAGAACUCUUAACCAUCAUUCCUUAACUCUAAAGGGCGUGAAUGUGUAGAUCAAGGAAGAAGGGUGGGAUAGCGCCCGAUUGAUUGAGCGUCUUACAGCCCGUCAUGCAAGCUAGCAAAGCCAGCGCAGAAGCAGCCCCCGGAUCCACACAGGGUACUUCAAAGGAGGUUAUCUUUAACCUACUGCUCAACAAUUCCAAAUCGAAAUUGGAAAUCUUUAUUGGACCGUGAUGGCCAGCUAAAACUUAACGGGGUUGAAGCAUCUUCUUGGAAUCACUAAGGAAGUAGGAAAGGAUCCAGGGUUGCCUGAGGCCCUGAGAGCCAGGAUGCUUGCUCUUGAAGAUGAAGUAAACAUGGUCAUGGGCCAAUAUCUCGGUGCUGUUGAAGGUAUGAAUGAACACUUUACCCUAAUUGGUUGGGGGUGGGCGGGAGCUUAGUAGUUGCUUAGUCGUUCAAAAGUCAGACUGUCGUAAGCCCGACACUAUUCUAUUUACUCUCUCAAAUGAGGGGCUGGUUUAUUUUGCUAUAGGGGCCAUCUCCUGUCAUCCCUUACCUAUGGUUCAGGAAAGGGAUUGACCGGAAUGAUUGCAACGAGACACACCAACACCACUACUUAGAGGUGGAAAGGGGGGCGGUCGGAGGAUGACAGAGCAAUCACGCCUUGCUCCCUCCUGACAUCUAUUGGGAGGGAACCUCCUUUCAGAGUGUGAUUCGUCGUUUCCAAUGCGGUUAAUUGCUAUUAGGCUUUUUAGGAAAGUUCCCCUCUGCCUAUGCAGUUAGCUCGACUCCAGGUAUAGCUCUUAAUGGGCAUGUAGCCGUAGGCGGGAACUCUUCUUUUUAUCUUAUUCUUUGGUCAGGCUGGUAAUCCCAACCAAAUAAGCAAUCGCAAUCGCUACAAGCAACCUAUUUCAUACCCUUUUCGUCGUACUUCCUCUUCUCCUUCUCUUCUUUCUCUCCCUGCCGAGCUUGUUGGAGUGCCAUUGCCAAGAUCUAGUGUAAUUCCCUUUCCCCGGGAGCCAGUCCCACUAGUGCUAGUAUCAAUAGGAAGAUCUCACUUCUGUUUACUCAGACGCCUCUUUCUUAUCGAAGACUCUGGCAGCUGGAACUCAUCGGCAGCGACUCUUACCACUGCAACCUAGGCACUCAGGCCUUGGAGCUGAUCUGUCAGUCCACCGUUACCACAAACCUCUACUUUGAAGUGAAGCGACUUCGUUCAUUCCCGAGUCGAUAAUUGCCAGAGGAUGGAACCCAGUAAUGGCACAUCAGCUUACCGAUUCCUUAAUAAGCAUUCAUUCCUGGACUUUACAAGUAACAAGUUAUCCCCAUAUGGAGUCCGCCCAAGGGAGAAAUCCAAUCCAAUGGGUCACUGGGACUGGGCUUGACAUCAAAGACAGAGAAAAGCGUAUAAGCGCAAAAAAGGAAAAUUGCCUGGGAAAACAAUCCCAAGGGAAGCUUCUCGCUAGUGCUUUGCCCCACCACUGAACAUUGCGUUGCUAUGGUCAAUAAACAGCCUUAAAGUGGUUCCGAAUGACCUUGAGGAGGCCCCGGCGCAGCACCUUUCUCGCUCGAAGGAUCUAUGAAAAGAACGUCCCACUACGAAUUCCUAUCCCAUUAAUAAAGUACAGAUAAAUAAUAUAUUCCAAGUCUGACUUUUAAAGCAUACGCAUUGAAAAAAACCUUUGGCUUUGGACUUUCUGCUUUGAUAGAUCUUUCCUCUCAAAAUAGGUUUUACCUAACCCACUAUGUCCUUUGUUUAAUACCCAUUUUCAGGAGCGGGAAUCUUGAAUUGAAAACCCUUUCUUCUGCCCUCGCCACUUCUUUCGCUGACCCUAUCCACCUCCUUUGCGGAAUACCAGAAAAAGAGAUGAAUUAGCGGAUCAUAGGGCUAAGUCGAAGCAUGCCUGAACCUUCUUCGUCGGAGACUGAGUUAAUAUACAAUCCCACUUUGGAGACUUCCCUUCGGGAUAGGUAGGAUAUGGUGCCACAAAUUGUAGUCUACUCGGCAUGCGUCGAUUCUUUGCUGGAGAAGCCUAGAUCACUAGUUUUGGACUAUCGAGAAACCCCCCUCUGCCCGCAUCCCUGGAACUUGCUUUGCUUUUUUGCUUUAAAGACCCCGCCUGCUUCACACCUUCUAUGAUAGGGGAAAUACUUCCGCACGAGUACUAAUUUGAUUAGCAUAAAUGAGCCUCUUCUGAGCCCUUGAGAUUUUACAUAUCAGCUUCAGAAGAUUCAAUUGGAUCAUUCUUGGCACAGAAGAAUGAGGAAGCAAAGGUAGAGUGUGCUCUGGAACUCCAACACUUGGGUUGAACAAAAAAGGCUCAAUCUUUCACUAUUCAGGAGUAAGGGAAAGCAAAUGCGAUCUAAGCAAGACGCCCUGGAAUUCCAUUCUGUAGGGAAGGAGGACCUACUGAAUAAGUCUCCAAUCAAUCGUAGGCGGGUGAGAAAAUGGAUUUGCCUCUUUCAUUUAGUGUUCAUUGUCGAAUCGGACGCUUAACCCCCGCCCCCAACUACGGGGGAAGUCACACUUUAACUUCCUGCCUUGACCUAGGCCUCACAUCGAUCGUUCUGUCCACUGAACUCAUCAAUCAACCUUGACCUUGACUCUCACUACGUACUCCAACUCUAUCUAUUAAUGAAGACGCUUUAUCUAAUGAAGCAGGAAGAAGACUAGGAAAGCAAUCGAACAGACAAGGCUCUGUAAGAGAAGAGCUAACUGGAGUACGCCUGGAACGACGAACGAGGAGUAUGAGAAGAGAGUUUCGAAGGUCAGAUCGGGUUGGCUGGUAAAGCUUGUGUUCCAGGUCAAUAAAGACUACAAACUAGUACUGCUAACAAGAAGCUAACAAAGCGAGGCUGCUAAAGAAGAGCUUGUUCCGGUUCCGGAUACGAGAAUAAGAAGAACGGAAGUACAAGAGGACAAGAAGGAGAAGAGGCGAGUACAGUUUCACUUCAGUUUCACUUGCUUGGUAACCUCUUUCCCGGUCAGAGAUAGGAAAGAAUCCAAAGCUUGCAAGGAUGUUAGGCUUCGAACGCUGUUAGGACAGAGAAAUUGGAAAGCUAGGACGAAAUAGCCUACCUUGAAUACAGAAUCAAUUACCAGACGGACUGGCUGGCCCACUUGUACGUAAUAGAAUCGAAAUCAAGGCAAAUUCCCCUGAUGGGAGUGAACAUAGGGAUUCCCCGACGAACGAAUGCAAUACAUGGAAGGCUUACGGAUGUAGUACUGGACGGCUUUACCUACGACAUUUCCUACUCCUACUUUUCAUACAAAGAGAAUGGGCAGCCUGGAAAACUUGGAAUGAUUACAGAAUGCUUACCGCCUUCGAUUCGGUCUAUUCUAAGUGGUCCAUUGGGUAAGCAGCGGAGGGAAGAGGUCUAUACCCAUUGCCGUAGCUAAAAGGGUUCCCUUUCUUACUUGAUUGAGACUGAGAGUCAGGGCAUCAGAGGUCUUAGGAAUCCCAUCCCUAACGAGCUAGAAGUGGAACAAGCGCUCUUAGCCUUUUGCUUGAGAGUAGGACUUGUCUUGUCUUUGACUUCAACCCGCUGCUUGACUGCUCGACUUGGCUAUUGAAGAAGCUCUUUGCCUUUAGGCACCAGGAGUAGGCAAAAAAAGACGGGCUUUCCUCCAACUGGCACGAUUGAAAUAGACGGCUAGGAAGGUACGAAGUGACUCGACUCUAAAGGAGAGGAAGGAGGCCAUUGGAUGAGGUUACUUCGUUCCUCAACUUUUUGAAUUUCAUUCUCCCGGGAAUUCGGGUUGCAACCAAAAACGAAACUUGGUAGCACUCUAAUCAGCUGUGAUUCCUCUUGUUGAAAAGAAAGAUGCAUCUCUUUUUUCUUCAAAAGCUGCCGUGCAUUUCUUUUUUAUAGGUAUACUUGGGCCUUCACUGACCAUGUGAGGACUUUUUAGGAAAAAGAUGUCCGGCCUACAAAAAGAACUAAAGACUAUCUGAUGAAAAGCUUUCUCAUAGUCAAAAUAGCUGAUGAAAGAAAGAGAGCAGAAGUAUGACCUUUUCAGGAAGAAUAUAAAUAAAGCAAGAUUUCGACCAGGCACGUAUCGAAGGAGCAAAGGAGGAGGUAGCAAUAGCAUUAGCAGGAGCAGCAGGAAGCGAACGAAAGUGAGCUUGUUCUCGAAUCAGCGCACUAGGAAUCGAAGAUUGAAGAUGAUUUCCGACAAGCGCACAUUCAUAGGCUGUUAGCAGGAUAAGGCGAGAAAGAUAUUGAAUGAGUUUAAAGAGCAUUUAUCUAAGCUAAGCCCAGUUAAUCCUACUAUCUUCAGGAGCUAAGCCUGGCCUCUUACAAGUCUCAAUUGAGGCAGAAAAAAGACGGAUUCUUAACCCGAUGGGGGAUCUUGCUACAUAGCUUCAUAUCUAAUCAGCUGAUAUACUGAUGCAGGAAAAUUCUUCUAAAGAAGACGUGUUGAGCUUUCUUUCCUUCGCUAACCCCCAUAGUUGAAUAAGAAAGUUCCGUCUCCAGUUCAGGGGAAGGACAAAGGAAAGAUUCAGCGAAGGAUAAGGUGGAAUGAGAUCCUCCGGUUUAGCUCCUUUAGUUAAGGCGCCCAACAAUUGAGUUCCGUAGCUUAGGUAAGCAUCCGCGAGAGGUCUUGUGGUGCAUCCAUCUAGAACAGCCCUCAAAACGAUCCAAAACAAGAAUGAUUACGUUCAAGCAGAGAUCUCACCAGCGGUAGAGGCGGGGAAGACCUAUACUAUUGAUUUCCCGAUACCGAGACUCUACUCUAGACAGCCAUAGUCUCUAGAUAGCCCUAGCCAAGGUUCCGAUUCUGAUAGAGUAGCCUUGCCUUCCCCACAGAGGAGAUAGACUGGUCUAUAAAAGGUACCUUCUGGAACUAGAAGAAGGAAUGUAGGAGCUAGUCUUCAAAGCUAUCCGGCAUAUGGGAAGCCGUGCUCAUUGGCCUGUGGCGGGGGGUAAUAAUUAUUCUAUAUUGCUGGGGUAAAUAGCCCCUUUCCCAACCCGAACUUGGUUUAUCUGAUGCUUGGCUGAAGCUUACUUGCAAGCACAGCAUCUGUCUCUUAGUCCUCUUUGGACAACCUUUAAUCAGAGAAAGAAAACGUAUAUUCUAUCAAUCUUAGAGAGAAUCUCUAUUCUACACGGAAAAAGCGUAUUCAACACAGACAGGCUCAGGGAAAACAUCCUAUACUUGGGAUAAGUGAGCACAAGAGUUUGUAAUGAAUGCUUUUAUUAGUACUUGAAAUAAGCUUUAUUCCUCCUGGCCAAUUCACCACUUCUCACUUACUUACUACUUACUCAUUAAAUACCGGCUUGAACAAGGAAAGCGGUCCCUUACCUUCUCUAUUUCCUUCCCUGUGAUUGACUGCUUUUUCUUCCUUUUUCCAUACUUCAGGAGGAAGAGAUCGCCGGGUUCAACUUCCACUGGUGAUGGCGAUUCCUUCUUGAAAACAGUAUAUUCAGUUGAAUCUGAAUAUUCUAAUAAUAAGAUCGAAUCAAUUCCUAUUCGAAAAGAGGAUUUCAUCAUACCUGGCUUUCCUAACCUUACAACUGGCACUGAGACUUUACUUUUUCAAGCUGGAAAUAGGGAACUCCUUUUUGGAACUGCCUUUGAUCUUAGGCUCGCAGCUACUAUAAAAGUAAUUGUCGGGGUUUUCUCAAUCGGAGAAGCCUAAAUCUGUGUCAGAGAUUUCCUUUGUCCGGAAUGAGCUUCUACAUAGGUCCUUCCAUAAAGGGGCUUUUCCAAUCUGUCUAGCUUCGGUGUGUUCUUUGCUUAAUUAAAGGGCAUCCCCCUUCUACUCCGGUCGUCCGGGUGGUCAGGGGAACUGUCAAGUGUAAAAGCUUUAAGAGAUAGGAGGGAAGUGAUAGAUUAGUUCAUGCUCAAAUACAGGCGGAGUUAGCAAAGGAAGAGGUACAACAUAAGCAAGUAAGCGGGUCACAAGGAAGUCGGAUUCCAAUCACAGUGAGUCACGCCGCUUUCAAGCCAGUAGUAAUCCUGUCCCAGUUUAUGUCUCUGCUUUCGAAACUGUCUUUCCUGUCUUUGAACGAAUCAGCUCUUAGGACAAAGUUCGGAAUCGUAGAAGGAAGACAAGACUCUAUCCCUUGCCUGGCCAGUGAAGAAGGCAUCUCGGAAGAGGAAAGUAGAUUGGGGCUGGACCGAAUAGUGCGUUGCAAUUCCCAUUUCAUUGCCUCUAUCUCAUAGUACGGAGUAGAAGAUAGGGUGUUAGUUGUUUCAUGGUUCCCAACGGGACGUAGCUAACCCUUCUAAGAUAACCAAGCGAAAAAAAGCGUAUUCUAACCAUGGGACAAUCAAUAAUAAAACAGUGAGACCCAACCUGGAACAAGAACCAAACCUGACAGCGAGAGGAGAGGAGAGACCAUUUUCAUGAGAGAGGGACGAGCAAGUGACAGAUUGGGAAAAAAAACAGGUAGGCCUUCUGAGCGGUCAUUUAGGGGCCUUGUUAGCGACCCAUCAUUCUUCCCUAAGCUGUCAGAGUCCGAUCGAAGCGAGCAAGAGAUAGAGGAAUCCUCGCUCAUAGAUGUGAAUUGAAAAAGCAAGCCCGAAUUCUUUUUAAUUAGGCUCUAUAGUCUGGUCCCUGUCCCUGGUAAGGUCUGAUUGUUAUCCGUAAGUCUUGUUUUGACCGCGGGAAGGUGAACUUUGCAAAAGUGCUUAUUUGGUUGGGAAGAAUAGGACUUCUGACUCCAAGCCUACCCUACCCGAAAUUUUCAGCUAUUGAUGUAGCCUCUUGUCGAUACUACUAGUCUUCUCGCUACCUACUAGAAAAAUCCCAUCAAGAUAGAUUGAAUCGACGACCUAUACUUCAACUAAAGGCACAAGGGCGUAGCGAGCACAGAACAGAGGAAAUGCACAUGGGUCUCCUUGAAGAACGGAGUCUAGGGUAAAGAAAGAAAGGUAGAGUGGGCACACUUUUACUGUGCUUGGAUUGGCAUGGCUGUCCCCCUUUGCUGGUUGAGGCUCGGCCUUUGACUCCGCUUGCCUCUACUUUUCAUGUCAAGCGUACAAGUCUAGUUUAGUGGGAUUUACUUCUAAAGACAGGAAUUCUUUUUCAUCUCCCCUGUCAAAGUCGACGUCUUAACCUGACUUCCUGAGCUCAGUUGAUUCUUGAAGCAGUAGCUCUGGAUCGAGAGCUGGAUGCUUACCUUAUUAUUAUGAAAUGAAAAGGAGAAAGAGCUUUUUUUAUAGAUGUUGAGGUGAGUAAGGGGGGGUUUGCUGGCUUGCUGGCUAGCUCGUGCAAUCAAGGAAAAAUCCCUUCGCCUUCUUUUUUCAAAAUGAAAAAGUAAACUACCUUAGUAAGCUAGCUUUGGUUGCUAAGCAAGCCGGGCACUACGCUAGGACGUGGAUCGAUCAUGACGAGAAUGGACUUCUCCGUAAUGUAAUGUAAAUGUAAUAGAAGAGGCAGAGUCCAGUUCCCCUCCCUUCUCGACCAGACGAAGGAGAUAUGAAUUCCAUUUAGGCGGGUCAGGGCUUGGCUUGACCCUGUGUUCUCCCGGGUCGGAGGCGAGAACUUGAAAGUGAAUCAUUCAGUGGUGGGGUGUUCAUAGAACAGAAGGCCUCGCCCAAGGAGUGGCAGAUUUGGAUGGAGUCUCGCUCAUAGAGGAAGAGUACGCGCGCUAGCGCGCUACGGCUUACGUAGUUGAUCGGAUCAGAUAGCCCUUCCUUCGGGCAAGCAACCAAACCCGGCACAUCCAAUUCCAUUCCGAUCAACAACUUGGAGGUAUGGCUGAGUGGCUUAAGGCAUUGGUUUGCUAAAUCGACAUACAAGAAGAUUGUAUCAUGGGUUCGAAUCCCAUUUCCUCCGGUACGGAAAUGAAACGGGCGGGCGAAAUUACGUGAGAGAAAGAACCUCUUGGUGGAGUCCAGUCCCCCGGAGGACAGAAUAGCACUUCUUAGUGACUAGGAGCGGAGAGCCCGUUGCACCUUGUUUUUCUGGCCUAUCUUCUUUCUAUAAGCAAGCUCCCUCCGGCAGUCCCUGGACGGCUCUCGGUUCUUGAGCAUGUUGGGGGAUUAGGCGGCAGUUGAAAGAGCUGCUCGAAAGCUUGACGAAGAAGCGAAAAAAGCCUAUCUAUUCUAUUUUCUUAGUUUAGUAAAGGGCUUUUCCCUUACUAGUCAAGUGGUAAGGUAGGGCGCUCUUCGAUGAAGAAAACAGACUUUAGGAAAGUGGUUCAGGUAGCUCAGCUGGUUAGAGCAAAGGACUGAAAAUCCUUGUGUCAGUGGUUCGAAUCCACUUCUAAGCAGGCGAAAGGUCCAAACCGUAGCCGGGAGUGAGCCGGAUUGAGAAAUGAAAGUGAAAGAGUAAGCAAAAAAAUGUGAGCGCUCCUGCACUAUACGGACGGCUUUUUGGCGGUAGGGUUGGGGUGCUUGAGGCAGAUUCAAAAAAAAGCGGUUGAUUACUCGGAUUGGUUCUCGCAUCCCUCCAAAAGGAUGGGCGAGUUCGGUUUGAGUGUUCAUCGAUCGGGUGGAUCUAUAUGCUUCGGGGUGGUGAGACGAGGUGUAGCGCAGUCUGGUCAGCGCAUCUGUUUUGGGUACAGAGGGCCAUAGGUUCGAAUCCUGUCACCUUGAUGCGAUGUGGCGAAAAAGAAGAUACUCUUUCAAUGAUUAUGCUGGCGUUAAGAUUUCAAACUUGUCGUCUACUUUCAGGAAAGGUUAUGAUGAGCGUGAUCACAAAAAAGGUUAUGAUGAGCUUGAGUCGAGUCACAAAAAGGGCUAUGAUGAGCCCUUGAAAGCUGUAGAAUUUCAUGUGUGAAGCAUAGUGAGAGUGACACAGAUCUCCUUUUUUCAAAUAGGGAAAGCAAAUCCUAAUCAUCAGGUAAGACGGGAUCAUUAGAAUACGAAACUGCCUAAAAAAAGGAAACUGUAUCAACAAGAGCAAUCGCAGCUUAUUCAUCGAGAAGCCAUUCGCGGCACACUGACUAGAAAUCAUCUGCGAGAAGGUCUUCUGGCACAGGCAUACUACUAAUCGAUUCUUUGGUAAUUCGUGAUUGAAUACAACCUAGGAAGAGUUGUACGCCUACAUAACAGCCCUCCCAGCCCAAAGGAAAAUGCCCAGAUCAUUUGAAAAAAAAAAGAUGCGUCAGUCACGCAUCCUAAUUGGUGAGCUUAUGCCGGCCAUAGUCCCUUCCCUGCUCUUAGUUUGCUUUAAAGGCACCAUUUUCGCGAGUAAAAAGAACAUGUGGUUAACCGAAUGGAUCACAGGUUGCUGCUCCACAGUCUGAGUUCCUUGGUUCGCCCUUCCAGGCUUGGCUCCAGUCUCUACGGGCUCAGCAGCAGCUUCUUGGGCUGGGCCACCAGCUUGAGGCUGUUCCUGAUGCUGGACUUCAGCAAUGGUAGCCACUGCUUCUUCAGUCUGAGAAUCUGCCUCUUUGUCGCUUGCGGCCUGGGCGGCUCGGUUCGGCCGAGCCCGUGGGCGUGGUGUUUUGUCCGUAGUUGGAUCGGCAAAUCGAUUGGCGAUUUGCCUUGCUUGGCUUACUUGCUUGAUUGAAAGAGUUUUCCCGUUGGACAGCUACUAUGAAUAAAUGGAUUGCCUCUAUUGAACCUAGCCUUACUAAAUAUCCUAAGAAAAAAAGCCAGCCGCUGCAAGUGCUUGAGAAUGAGUUCACGCUCUUCUUGUUACAGUAAGUGCUGCAAUUGAAUCAGCUCUUGAUGCAAUAGAAUAGGAGUUCUUGGUGUAAGCGUAACCGCAGUUGACUAAAUAUCCGCCGUGGUUGAAUCACAAGGAAGAAAGAUGGUAGCGUAGGGUAGAGUAGAUUCGACGGUAUGCCACAAGGUUAUCCGAGUUCACAGGUGUCCUUGCUUUCCCUUAAUAGUCUGAGGGGAACAGAAUGGCAGAAGCGAAGUGAAACUAUGAACAGACGACUCGAUCCUUGACCUCUUAUUAUAGGCAAUAGCGAAGGCUCGACUUAUCAAUAUCAUAAAUAUCAUAAGAGAAGAAAAGCAAGUCAAGCAGUAUGCCUGGUUCACCAGGUUCUACCACUGCAGGGCCCAAUCAUAGUCAAAAGCGGAAAAGAGAGGAUUUGCAAGAAAAAGUCGAAUAGACUGACCUACGAGCAUAAGAAAGAAGAGGAAAUCGAAUUAUGUAUGAUGAGCUUGAGUCGAGUCACAAAAAGGGCUAUGAUGAGCCUUUUUAGAGUGACUUUCACGGUUAUGAUGAGCUUUUUUCUCCUAUUUCCAAGAUCGAAUUCCAGUUUUUUCUUAUCGACUGUCUUAUUAUUUUUCCUUUUUUCUAGCUUCUUGCUUGCUACCUUCUACUCUCUCUGUUUUCUACUGGGCUCUCUUGAGUUCUGUUGGGGCUUUCUCGAAAGGCUAGCUUUAUCUCUGGGUGGUAAGGCUCUUUCCUUUUUUCUCAGAGGAUUGGGCUGCUCCGGAGCGCUGGCCCUGGCGAUUGCAUGGUUUCUUCAAUUCUGCAUUUCUGAAUCCUCAAACAUGAUGGCUCCUUCGGGGGCCUCUGGCUCAGGAUCAGGUGAGGGCGCUGGAGGAAGUCGCUUCCGCUGGGCUUCGGAAUUAGC
rnacentral:lncRNA from 1 species